GUUUAAUGAUUGAAACCGUCGUUAUAGCCGACUGUAUACUAUACAACUAUGUGAUCAUUGAAAAAAAGAUUCCUUCUUAUUUAUGUAUGAAAUUAUAGCAGUUUUAAUAUGUGAAUUCCAAUAGAGUUGGUAUAUUUCCAAUAAAUAGUAUAAUAAAACCCAAAACAAUAAAAUAAAUUAUAUUAUACUAGAAGAAAAGGACAAAAAAAAGAAAGCACCCAUCCAUAAAAGGAAGGAAGGAAGAAGAGAAGGGUGGCAAGGCAGUGGUAUAUAUGAUUUUUUAGUCUUCG
rnacentral:lncRNA from 1 species